rfam:Leucoagaricus sp. SymC.cos contig13550, whole genome shotgun sequence.
UGCCCCGUGGCCCAGUUGGUUAAGGCGUCUGACUGUUAAACCAAAAUUGGUCCGACAUCAGAAGAUCGAGAGUUCGAGUCUCCCCGGGGCAG